rnacentral:rRNA from 1 species
GGAUGAACGCUGGCGGCGUGCCUAAUACAUGCAAGUCGAGCGAACAGACGAGGAGCUUGCUCCUCUGACGUUAGCGGCGGACGGGUGAGUAACACGUGGAUAACCUACCUAUAAGACUGGGAUAACUUCGGGAAACCGGAGCUAAUACCGGAUAAUAUAUUGAACCGCAUGGUUCAAUAGUGAAAGACGGUUUCGCUGUCACUUAUAGAUGGAUCCGCGCCGCAUUAGCUAGUUGGUAAGGUAACGGCUUACCAAGGCAACGAUGCGUAGCCGACCUGAGAGGGUGAUCGGCCACACUGGAACUGAGACACGGUCCAGACUCCUACGGGAGGCAGCAGUAGGGAAUCUUCCGCAAUGGGCGAAAGCCUGACGGAGCAACGCCGCGUGAGUGAUGAAGGUCUUCGGAUCGUAAAACUCUGUUAUUAGGGAAGAACAAAUGUGUAAGUAACUAUGCACGUCUUGACGGUACCUAAUCAGAAAGCCACGGCUAACUACGUG